rfam:Planctomycetes bacterium GWF2_41_51 gwf2_scaffold_1552, whole genome shotgun sequence.
GCCCUCAUCGUCUAGUGGUUAGGACACCGGCUUCUCAAGCCGGCAGCAGGGGUUCGACUCCCCUUGAGGGUA